AUGCCCCCAGGAGUAACACGCACACUAAAACUCAGUCCACUGAGCAGUGGAGUCCGUGACUGCCAGCAGAUCUGUUGCUACCAGGGCCGGGAGGAGGCAGGAGGGUGUUACAGAGCAGAGCACCGAUGCCUGGCAAAACAGAGGCCAAGCCUGAAGGGAAGGAGCAAAGACAGUCGAGACGGAAUGUGCUCGCUUCAGAACUUUGCCCGCAGUGUUUCACAUUCUUCUGUUCUCGGACAAAGAGGAGUGGCUGUGUGUGCAGAGGACGGGAAUGCAGCCCCUGUCCUGGUGACUCACACCGACACCACUUCGCUGUGGAGUUGUUGUUUGUGUUUAACACCCGGUUGCCUUUGUCACAAAGGAAUUCCUUCCCAAGAGAUUCACUUGUCCCGAAAGAUUCAUUCCCAAAGAAUCAUUAUGUCAAAAUUCUAUGAGCCAAGAUUCCUAAAAAUAAAGAAGCUUCCCUCCUUGGGCACCAAAAUCUUUCUGACUGGGGGCUGGAGAGAGAGGGCGUUUUCAAAGUGGCAAACAAGAUUAAGCUUGAUUUAAGCCAAUCACUUCAAGAGAAAUAACCAAACUUUUAGUGCCAUAAGUCACAGGGAUCAAAGUACUACUUCCAGUUAAGGCUUCAACCUGUUCAAGGCACUUUGCAUCUGCAGGUCUUUUUGGUCAUCAAUUGAGAGUUCAAUUUCGUCUAACACCAAGAGGUGGUAUGGUGUCAGUAUAAGCAGUAAACGAAAUUAAAGUUCAGAAUAUGUUCUGCAAAGACAGUGUGACUAAAAGGCACAAACAAUAAGAUAAAACGAAAUAAGACCUUAAAGUCAAACAACUGCACAGGAUUCUCAAUCCUGGCAGCUGUGUAAUCUUGGUCAACUUAAUUUCCUUGAGCCUGUGUUCCACAAUGAAAGAAGCCAUUGCAAUGAGAAGCCCACACACUACCAGGAAGAGUAGCCCCCAUUCGCUGCAACCAGAGAAAGCCCACACACAGCAAUACAGACCCUGGGCAACCAAAAAUAAAUAGAUGAAUAAAUAAAUAAUCAGCCUUCUGGCUUAUUUUUUAAAUGGGAGGAAAAUGUAUCCAAGGUAUGUAUUGAUUAUCCAACACAUGUACACCACAGUUCAUGAUAUGAUGGGAAAACAGAGGAUAUGUCUGCUUUUAAAGAGCUUAAACUCAAGACAAGGAUACAAAAAUGUUGACAUUAGGCAAUUAGCAACAUAAAAGUCAUAAUGAACCUCAACUGAGCAUUUACAAUGUGGUGAACACAUGCAGACUUCAGGAACAGGGUCUCAUCUGAUCCACUUAACAACCCAAUGAAGUCAUUACCCAUUCACCAUCUUCCAGAUGAGGAAACUGAGGCUUGGCAAGAUUUAGUUACUUACCCAAGGCCACAGAGCUCAAAUACCGGCUUUGAACUCCAGCAACCUAAAUCUACAGACAUGACUUAGAUACAACUGAGUCUUGUAAACUAAAGGGGAGUUAGACUAGUGACUCAGCAGUGGCCACAGGACUGGAAAAGGUCAGUUUUCAUUCCAAUC
rnacentral:lncRNA from 1 species